AUGUCUCUGUGCUUUUGGCUGUAUAUUUGGAUGCAGGAAAAUUCUCUUCCUUGGAAUAGCUUCCUUCCCAGGGAGUGCUCGGAGCCUGACAUGAAUCCCGAGGAAGCAGUGUUCACAGCAAGCACCUUUGGAAGCACAGACUGGGCAGGGAGGAGGCUCCCGUGAGCUACAGCCAGGGAGUGACAGGGACUAUUUCUAUAUAAACAAGCCCAGGAUCAGCUGAAGUUGCCAUUCACUGGCAAACGAAAAUAAAGAGACAAUUCAGAAUCAAAGUGGGAACCAGGAAUCCCACGUGUGGUCUGUCCCUCUGUCACUGAACUGAUAGUGUGGCCUCGGUUUCUGCACACACAGAACUUCCGUGCUUCUACGUGUCGGGUGCGUGCCUCGCCGCCCAUCCCAAGCAGAGCGGCGCUUCCAAAGCCAGCGCCGUUGGAGCAGCAGGGCAAAGUUUCACGACGGCUGGUCGCCGGCAGAGAGGGCAAGCUCUGGGCUCGCAGCUUCUCUCUCAGUCCCUCAAGCAAUCUGGCACCCAUAGGACUGCCACCACCUUUUCUGCACUGAAGGGUUGAACUCCUUGCUGAAAAUCUGCGCUACACCUUGGAGACGGAAUUUUGCAUACAGAACUCAUUUGCAGCGAAAUGCAAUCGCAGUAAAUAAAUAAGUAACGGGAGCCAAAACGGCAGUGUGGUGAAUCGGCAAGCUUAUUUCAAAUAAAUUGAAAGAACUUGCGGUGACGAACGCUUUUGUGCGAGUCUGGUACUGAGAUUGUAAGAAUUUUGCAUGUCUACAUAAACUGACUGAUAGCAAAGGAGUUUCUAGUCCCCCUCAUGGCACACACAAAUGUCUGUUAAAGACAUAAAUAUUUAAAAACAACAGCUAGACUAAGAGGGUUAGCUUUCAUUUCAUCUAAUUUGGCAAGCAUUAGAUACACCCACCAGAAAUCAUUUUAUUUUGUGUAAUUUAAUAGCAGAUCUAUUGUAGCAUCACAGUUUCUGACACACCGAAACAAAUCAAUGUGGCCUUUUUUUAAGUUCAGAAUUAAUAUAAGGCUGUAUUUCAAGUGUUAGAUGGAAAUCAAUAAAGAUUAAAACCUUUCUGUGUCAUUCACUUGUUUUCGUCCUCUGCUGCAAAGUUUAUUUGCCUUCCUGCAUGUAAUAAAGAGACUUUGAUCCUUGUUCAAAUAUCUCUGAUUUUUUACUUCCCUCAUGUUUGAUCUGGUUCUCAGGUGAGAAAUAUUGGCAAAACUUGUAAGAUUUACACCUGCCAAUGGUAGCAUACAGGCUAGUAACAUGAAAUUAUAUAAACUGUACUAUAUAUGCCCUUUGGAUUCUUACACAUCAGAAUAAUAUUCCCACAGAAAUCAAGCUGAGAUUUUA